rnacentral:rRNA from 1 species
GACGAACGCUGGCGGCGUGCUUAACACAUGCAAGUCGAACGGAAAGGCCCUGCUUUUGUGGGGUGCUCGAGUGGCGAACGGGUGAGUAACACGUGAGUAACCUGCCCUUGACUUUGGGAUAACUUCAGGAAACUGGGGCUAAUACCGGAUAGGAGCUCCUGCUGCAUGGUGGGGGUUGGAAAGUUUCGGCGGUUGGGGAUGGACUCGCGGCUUAUCAGCUUGUUGGUGGGGUAGUGGCUUACCAAGGCUUUGACGGGUAGCCGGCCUGAGAGGGUGACCGGCCACAUUGGGACGGAGAUACGGCCCAGACUCCUACGGGAGGCAGCAGUGGGGAAUAGUGCACAAUGGGCGGAAGCCUGAUGCAGCAACGCCGCGUGCGGGAUGACGGCCUUCGGGUGGUAAACCGCUUUCGCCUGUGACGAAGCGUGAGUGACGGUAAUGGGUAAAGAAGCACCGGCUAACUACGUG